UUUUGAUGGCCAACUACUGCAACCUCAAUUGACUAGAUCUGUGGCAAUCAUAAUUGAACAUUAAGAUGCUGGAAAAAAGAUGUGCGAUAUGCAUAGUCUGGUGAUUUUUGAUAUGUAGAUGUGGCCUGAGUUCCCAAUCUGUGACUGACACAUACACCAGACUCAGGAGAAAAGUUUUUCUGAUACAUGGUUGUGGCUGUGGCAAGGAUCAAUAACAGAGGGAGGAAAAGGAAGGAUACAAUGG
rnacentral:lncRNA from 1 species